AAAUAACUCCGUAUGUAAAAGAUGUAUUGAGCACCAUGAGAGAUGAGAGAGAAGAGAAAGUAAUCUGUUCUGUUACGAACUCAGCAACGGCAUUGAACGUCAUUCCAAACUCUUAUCCAAUAUGCCAAUUCUCUUUACAUGUUUAUAUUCGUCCCUUUGAAAGAAUCUCAACUUGUUCUUUGUUGUAUUGUCAUAGCUUGCAAGAGAUUGACUGAUCAUAUGGAACAGAAAAGUUGUUUUCGAUUCUAUUGAAAUCCGAAAAGUGGAGACCGAAGAAUUUUGAUAAUCAAUGUUGAUGAUAUAACGAUUUCAGGUUAACAAGAAUAGCUUUUAUCAGGUUAGUUUCCUCAUCUGUAAACUGUAACUAAAAUGUGUCAAAAGGGAUUUUGACUUCAUUCCAAGGAAGAAGUGAAUGAUGCUUUAGGGUUUAUCAUUCUCCUUCGAUUUGCAAAAACGUAAUACGCAAGGCACUUACAACAUUAUUACACUUUCUGGCAUUUUGUAUCGCAUCCUACACUAAAGAAUGCUUCUUUAUAUAGUUUCGCAAACAAUUAUCGAAGCUCUUUAGUUUAUGGUCUGUGAUUUUACACGAGUCUCUGGUCAUAAAACCAAAAUCUUUAGGAAGAUUAUGCUGCUUUAAUCUGAGCUCUUUUCAAUAGCUUCCUUGGCAGCAGCUCCUCCUUCGAGCUUCUUCUGCCAAUACUGAUCUAGUGGUGGCCCGAAAAUCGCUUUACCUGAAACGACACCAAUCCUGCAGAAUAACCAAAGAACGACAAAACCUAUUCAGAUCGCUAAUUACUGAUCCCGAAUGUCCGAUCCUCAAAAAAUCAUCUCGAAUUCCACAUUUACAAUGUUCAGAUCCAUUCUUACAAAACCUAAGGGCUUUCGAGGAACUAUGAUACGCAAUCUAACUUAUCACUCAAUUAAUAAACUUUUAUCACCAGAUCUUCCGAAAUAAUCGUAAUCUAAAGGAAGAACGCGAAGAACCAUAUAAAGCAAGAUUUAGAUUUCGCCGAGGAGACGAGUGAGGAUGAAAAGAGCACUUACACAACAGCUCCAACGACCAUCGGAAGAGACAAGAACCUGUUCCUCCGAAACAUUCUUUCAGAUCCAAAUCAAUCGCCGCCGCUCGAUCCGGUCGCCGUCUUAAAAAGCCAUCACAGUUUAUUAUCACGUCCUAACUUCUAAAUGGGCUUGACCCAAUCUUAGAUAAUCUAACAUGUCUGCCCAUUUAAAAAGCCUUUUGUAUGCUUUAAUAUUG
rnacentral:lncRNA from 1 species